CUCUAGCUCUCUAUCUUAAUGAAUGAAUGAAUGAAUCUGGGAGGAGACCAAAUCAGAAAUAAUUGCUAUUUACAUUUAAAUUUAAUCUGAAUCAAUCAGGAUCCAAUGAUCAAAUGGGGUUUGGCCUAGGAUCUGUUGGUGGCCCAUUAGAAUCAGAUUGGUUUUAGAUUAAGGCCUAGUCUUUAAGAAAUAAAUCUAGCCAGCAAACCCCAAGAGAUGUUGGGAGGGUUCAAAGCCACAAAAGAGAAAAAAAAAAUGCUUUUAAGAGCAUCUGUAGUUAAGGAUAUGAUAUCCUAAGUAGACAGAGGGAGGAAAGAGAAGGAGGGAAGGAAGAAAGAAAAGAAGGAGGAAAGGAAGGAAGGAAGGAGGGAAGGGAAGAAGAAAGGAAGGAAAGAAAAAGGAAAGGAAGGAAGGGAAAGGAAAGAAGGAAGGAGGAGAGAAGAAAGGAAGGAAAGAAUGAAAAAAAAGAAGGAAAGAAGGGAGGGAGGAAGGAAAAUAGGAAGGAGAAAGGAAAGGAGGGAAGAAGGAAAGUUGGAAGAAAGGAGUUGUCCAGCUGACUAAUUUCAGUUUGUGCGCCAGCUUUAUUCACAGAAGUUGUUGCUUAUCUUUUGUUCUUGAAGAGGACUAUGACAUCAGAGAGAUGAGAUGACAUGCAAGUGAAUUGGAUUUAAAUGAGGAAGGUCUGUGCAAGAUCACCUGCCUCACUUCUCCCUGCAGAGCCAAAGGGAAAAAGAAAAGCUAACUACAUAUGCCCAUGAAGACUUGGUACAAUAUAAGAAGAUGAAGCAGUAGAGAUGACUAAAAUUCACAGAGUCACUGAAAUCUAGUUGCAAAAUAAAAGUCAAGACAACUGGAAUGACCCAGGAUGCAUCUUUAAUGUAUGAUUAAACUCAAAGUACACUACGCCACUUACUUCAGCUGCCUUCAGGACUGUAUAGAGGAAUAAGAAUUUUUAUAGCAGCUGUUAUGUGCCAGAUUUUACAGAUGAGGAAUUGACUCCAGGCCCAGAGCUCUAUCCAUUUCACCACCUAGCUGCCCUCUCCAUGAGUAUGGUAUAGUAUUAAUGGGUAUUAUUUGUAUGGGCUUUACAAUUUCCCCAAAAAGACUAGGAUGGAAAAGAAAAAAAAAGAAGCUUUAAUAUCAAAGGGAUUAAUGUUGUUCAGUUAGGGUACUAUUGGUACGACUUUCUAUAGAGUGGGAGAAGAAAAGUUUCUAAGUUGAUGACAGGAUAGAAUUCUACUAUUUUUCUCCAAUAAGAAGUACAGGUGCCAGAUCCUAUAUAUAGAGGCCAUAUCCAAAAGCUCUUUUUGCCCUCCAUAGCCACAAUUCACAUAAGAUACUGGUUUUCCUGUUUGUAUUAUGUACAAAAAUGUCCACAGAAGAAGCUUUUUGUUAAGCAUAUAACCCCUUGAAAUAUAUUUACAGCAUAUGACACUAUCACUGAGUCAGGAAAGGCUAUUUGCCUUACUUUGAUAUAAA